UUAUUAUGUAACGUAAUAAUCGUUUUAUGUUUAAUUUAUAUAUUUGUUUCUCUGAUGUUUUAGACCACACGGAAUUGGCGUAGAAGAUUUGUUGCUCCGUCGUGUUUUACGGAUCGCGUGGGCUUUUGUAAGCAUGUUUUGAGUGGGCUGAAGUAUUCACUACGACCGAAUAUUUUGAAAGAGAGGACUGAGAUUGGAAGCAAAGCUAGGAGUUACAGCAGUAUCUAUUUGUUGUUUAGUUAUAUUGCUAAGGGUAGUGAUGUAUCUGUUGAUAAAUACGGAUCAUACCCUUUGGUGUUUGGUAUUGAUCAAACCGUACCAAAUUUUGGAUCGGGGCCUAUAUUUGAAGACUCUGAUGAUGAGUAAUUAUUUUAUUUGAAUUUGUUGCUA